CACGUAGGGGGCGAGCGUUGUCCGGAAUCAUUGGGCGUAAAGAGCUCGUAGGCGGCGCGGUAAGUCGGGUGUGAAAUCUCGGAGCUUAACUCCGAAACUGCAUUCGAUACUGCCGUGCUUGAGGACUGGAGAGGAGACUGGAAUUUACGGUGUAGCGGUGAAAUGCGUAGAUAUCGUAAGGAAGACCAGUGGCGAAGGCGGGUCUCUGGACAGUUCCUGACGCUGAGGCACGAAGGCCAGGGGAGCAAACGGG
rnacentral:rRNA from 1 species